rnacentral:rRNA from 1 species
UACGUAGGGGGCAAGCGUUGUCCGGAAUCAUUGGGCGUAAAGCGCGUGUAGGCGGCCCGAUAAGUCCGCUGUGAAAGUCCAGGGCUCAACCCUGGGAUGCCGGUGGAUACUGUCGGGCUCGAGUCCGGAAGAGGCGAGUGGAAUUCCUGGUGUAGCGGUGAAAUGCGCAGAUAUCAGGAGGAACACCGGUGGCGAAGGCGGGUCUCUGGGCCGAUACUGACGCUGAGGAGCGAAAGCAUGGGUAGCGAACAGG